UCUCUUUUCUUGCGAUGGACUUCACGACACGGAUUGAUGUCGAGGUCAGAGCAAGUAUUCUAGUUUUCUAAAAGCUUCUCAGGCUUCUUUGCUUUUCGUUUUCCGUGCUGCAGUUAUCAGGAGGGAAGACUAUGGCAACGGCACUCUCUUUUUUCUAUACUCAGAUCGUAACAUCAACGCUUUUUAAGCUAAUGUGAAUGGUUUGUGUUCACUUGGAAAGCAUAGUGACGGCGACCAAACAAGUUUUCUACAAUGGCAAUGCAAUUCCUUGACGUGCCCAGCAGUUCCACUUAAGAUGCUGACCAACUGAAUUAGUCCUCGUUUCAUGGCAGGGAAUCAAUUCUGGCUGGUAAAUCAUGGCAUUUUAACUUGUGGCAUUUUUGCAGAUAUACUGUUUUGGCAAGACCAAACCAAGAAUUUGUCUGAGAAAAAAG